AGUGAACGCUGGCGGUAGGCCUAACACAUGCAAGUCGAACGGCAGCACAGUAAGAGCUUGCUCUUACGGGUGGCGAGUGGCGGACGGGUGAGGAAUACAUCGGAAUCUACUUUUUCGUGGGGGAUAACGUAGGGAAACUUACGCUAAUACCGCAUACGACCUACGGGUGAAAGCAGGGGAUCUUCGGACCUUGCGCGAUUGAAUGAGCCGAUGUCGGAUUAGCUAGUUGGCGGGGUAAAGGCCCACCAAGGCGACGAUCCGUAGCUGGUCUGAGAGGAUGAUCAGCCACACUGGGACUGAGACACGGUCCAGACUCCUACGGGAGGCAGCAGUGGGGAAUAUUGGACAAUGGGCGCAAGCCUGAUCCAGCCAUACCGCGUGGGUGAAGAAGGCCUUCGGGUUGUAAAGCCCUUUGUUGGGAAAGAAAAGCAGCAGGUUAAUACCCCGCUGUUCUGACGGUACCCAAAGAAUAAGCACCGGCUAACUUCGUG
rnacentral:rRNA from 1 species